UCCCUGGUAGUAUAUCGGUUAGUACACGCGCCUGUCAUCAGUCUCGGACGCGCGAAAGCUGGGUUCGACUCCCAGCCAGGGAG